GAUGAAGAACGUAGCGAAAUGCGAUAAUUAAUGUGAAUUGCAGAAUUCCGUGAAUCAUCGAAUCUUUGAACGCACAUUGCGCCCGUCAGUAUUCUGGCGGGCAUGCCUGUUCGAGCGUCAUUACGCCCCUCAAGUCCCCUGUGGACUUGGUGUUGGGGAUCGGCGAGGCUGGUUUUCCAGCACAGCCGUCCCUUAAAUUAAUUGGCGGUCUCGCCGUGGCCCUCCUCUGCGCAGUAGUAAAACACUCGCAACAGGAGCCCGGCGCGGUCCACUGCCGUAAAACCCCCCAACUUUUUAUAGUUGACCUCGAAUCAGGUAGGACUACCCGCUGAACUUAAGCAUAUCAAUAAGCGGAGGA
rnacentral:misc_RNA from 1 species